rnacentral:miRNA from 1 species
AAUUCUGUAAAGGAAGAAGAGG